AAAACGGUUCUUUUCAGAGCCACCAAUUGAUAUAAAGAGAGUUAUU
rfam:Aedes aegypti strain Liverpool supercont1.75 genomic scaffold, whole genome shotgun sequence.